GCCUGGGGCUCUGUGUACCCCCAUUUCCUCCUCUCCUCUAUGCCUGGGGCUCUGUGUACCCCCCUUUUGCCCUCCCCCUAUGCCAGGGUUCCCCAUUCUUCCUGCUCCAUGUCAGGGGCUUUGGGUGUCUCCUUCCCCCCCCACUCCAAAGUACCUUUCUUUCCCCCCCAGAUUGGAAGGGACGGCCAGACCUAUGGCCCAGUCCUGUGUUCUGUCCAUUAGACAAUGCUUCUUUCUUACUUGUUCACCUGCUGUGCCUGAGUGCUUUGCUGAAUCGGGGCCUAUGUUAACUCACGCUGCGCAUGGGAACAGGGAAUAUUGCAGAUGAUUCAUAAUGGUGAGUAUUCACGACAUAAGCCCGCUCCGAAGAGUCACCCUCGUCCCAUAAUGGGACAGAAACAUUAGUUGCGACCUCAGAGGCCAAUCAGAAUAGCUUGGAUGCUGCAGUGACGCGCUCCUGUGCGAACGUCAGCCCAAGAUUUAUUCACACCAGCUCUUCAGCGAAUAGGUUCUAACCAUGCACGAUUUGGAGAAAAUGGCAAUCUCACGGUGCUCGCUUCUUGGGCGGAAAGAGGCAAAACUAAUUAAUACGUCAUCUGAAAACAAGAGCUGUCAGACGACUGUCACAUUGUCUAGCUGUAUCAUAGUCAGGGGGGUUUCUCUUUGUUGUUCCGCUUGGCAGAGUAUCACAAUCAGAUCAGCUAUCGAAUCCCUUUUAGAAAUCAGUGUUCAUCUGAGGUCCGCGUUCAGCAAAGCACUUAGGCACGUAACUUUAAAUACAUCUAGUUCUGGGCAUAAGGGAAUCAUAAAGUUGGACGGCUGGAAGGGGUCUCGAGGGGUCAUCCAGUUCUUCAUCCUAGUCUGGGGCAGAACUCUCCCUCCCGUUCAGCUGGAGUAGAGGGGCUCUACAAGCCACCGAUCCAGUUGGGAUGGAUUCCACCAGCAGCGCCAUAAGGCUGUCCUCUGAGGAACCCUCCGUACGUCUCUGCGGUAGAGGCCAUGCCAGAGCUGGGAAGGCUGCGUCAGAGGGUGCAGCGAUUCCAGGCAGGGCCGUGGCCCAUAGGUCAGCCCCGGGAGGCUGCUGUAACUUUGACUGGCCCACGGGGGUUUCUAAAUUACAGCAAGGGCCACUGUAGUCCCCGGUGCAGCCCGGGGUCAGAAAGGCGCCAACCUCCUCUGUGCUGUGCCUCUUAGAGGCACAACUCAGAAUCUCACCUGUUGACUCUCACGGGCAGGGCCGGCUCUAGGCACCAGCGUUCCAAGCAUGUGCUUGGGGCGGCACUUCUCAAGGGGCGGCGUUCCGGCCCUCUUUUGGGGGCGGGGCUUCUUUUUUUUUUUUUUGCUUGGGGCGGCAAAAACCCUGGAGCUUAUCAUUCAAUCAGGUGCUUAAAUACCUUGCUGAAUCAGGGCUUCAUUCUGCUUUUCUUACUCAGCCAAAACUCAGUUCCCAUCGAAUUCAAGAAGAGAGUCCCCAAAGGUUAGAUUUUCAAGAUCAGGGCCUAUGUUUUUAAAAAGCACAUGGGUUUCUCGAUGGGUGGAAUCUUUUAUGCUUAUGGGAAGCAAAUCUGACUAGUCUACGAUCAGGAGUUUCCAAGUUUACUGACUGUCCUGCAGCGUGCACGGCUAGGUGUUAUGGUAGCACUUACUCACCCGAACAGUACUUGAAUGUUUACUGUAAAUGCUAACGCCUGCAAUGAAACUCACUCCAAACAUAGAUCUCCUUUCUUUCAAAAUGCAUUCAUUUAUUCCUUCCAGAAUUAUUGAUCUGACUGAUUAUGAUCAUCCAGAGGGCUGAAUGUGGAGGCCCGAAUUAUAAAAUGAAUGUACUUUGAUUCAUUUGCUUUGUAAAUUGCUUUCUCAGCAUCCAUUAUGUAGUGUUACAUCGCUCAUUCUCUUAAAGGAAUAGUCUCAGUGGAAGUUUCUUCUUUGAA